rnacentral:sRNA from 1 species
AAUUUCAUUUAAAGUGAAAAUCCUUUUGUUUUUGACAAAAAACAAAAGAUUGUAGUGGAAAGCCCGGC